UCAGCCCGCGACCCUGUCUUCUAUCUUAUCCCUUUUCCAGCACGGCGGGGCGGCGGUGGGCUCGCGGGAGACGGCGCUCGGGGAGGCGGCGGUGCGCUCGGGCGCCGCAUCAGGCGGCGGCAGCGAGGUGGGGAGGCGGCGCUGCGCUCCAGGGAUGCAGCAGCGAGGCGUCGAGGCGGCGGUGCCCUCGGGCGCCGCAUCAGGCGGCGACAUCGAAGCGGGGAGGCGGCGCUGCGUUCCGAGGAUGCAGCAGCGAGGCGUCGAGGCGGACCUGUGCUCGGGCUCCGCAUCAGGCGGCGGCAGCGAGGCAGGAGGCGCACGGGGAGAUGAAGGAGGAGAAAAUGGAGAGUCGGCCAGGGCACGGACCACAGCGGCGAAGCUUGCGGGGGGCGAUGGAGGGAGGCGGCGCUGCGCUCGGGCGCCGCAUGCCUCCUCUGCGUCUCCUUUCUUUCUUCCACAACUCCUUCUCUCUUGCAUGUCACCGUCUUGCUGGCCGCGCAGUAAAGAGAUCGAGGAAGAGGCGGGAGUCGGGUCAAUCGAUCUGUCGCACGACAGAUGCGGCACUCCCGGUUCCAUCUAGCAACGGGCAGCAGAGGGAGGUGGAAGAGGAGCCACGACCUCGGAGCAGGAUGCUGCCGCCUAACACGCAUCUGACCAUGAGCUGGAGGAUAAGAGAAGCGCAUCUCUGAAAUUCACAGUUUUAAACCCAAAGAGAUACAUCUAGACAAUGCUCGCAUGAGUGGUUCCAGUGUCAUAUACGCCAACAUGGCAGUUGGAGAUUUGGGAUCGGAUGCUGCUCCAAGAAAGAGGGACCAAGGUGCUGAAUUAACAGCAGGGGGAGGAUGAUUCUUCAGGUAACAACAUAGCCCGUCGACUAGAGAAUUAAGUUAACUGUUUGCUUUACUUGAAGCUCCAAAUUGUAGUAAUUUUAUUCGUUCACUAAUUUGGUAUAAUCUUAAUCUAGGAGGAUUAGCACUGUAUGAUAUGAGAUACUGACGUUUAGCAAUGAUAAAAGUCUAAUGUUGAAUGGUUCUUUUCGGAGUACAGUUGUAAGAUCUAUGAUUCUAGCUUCGACCUUUAACUGGACAGUACUAAUUGGACAUAUAAUUGAUGAUUUAUGCACAGCAAGAUAUUCUGUUGUUUUUAGUUCUUCAAUCAGAUUCAUCUAGCCCUUUGUUGACUUUCUAAUUGUUACCCUCUACCUCUGAAACUCAGAAAUCAGAGAAAGGUCAUUGGCAAUUUGGCAUAUCCCUGUCACUGGCGAAGAUUUGCUAGAGAGGAAGAGCACCAGAUUUUUUUUCUAUUGUUGGGGGCAUACAUAAUACAUAUAGAUAAAUUUGGACCAUUUUUAACAGAGAGAUUUCUUGCCAAAAAAAUUAACUCUGUCCAGCAGUGGGCAUUGUCAAGGUAAUAAAAGGAAUUUGCUGAACCUAAUUGAAUGAAAGAGGGAUGGCUAAUCCGAUUGAGAACCUUCUGUAACUGAAUAGACUUACGAACGAUCAACAAUACUAAAUAGUUGCAAAUUAACAGACAUUGCUUGAUUAAAAUACUGAUUUAAGAAUUUGGCGAAUCUAUAAUUCUCUACAUAAUCACUUAGUGUAUUUUUGAUCACCGGGUUAUCCUAGACCACUUGGGGACAGUAUCAUCAAUUUCUUGCAUACUGCAAUGCAAGUUUUAAAAGCCAAUUUCUUAUGUUUCUUAUUAUCUUUAUGUUCACCUAACUGCCAAGAAUCAUAAAAGGAUGCACCUAAGGAGGUAGAUUUUGUUUUAUGCAUAUUUUAAGUGUACGUAUGCUGCAACUGAUUAACAAAACAUUGUUCAACCUUCUAUGAGUCUGCCUAGGGAGCUGCACAGAUUUGGAACAACUUCCAGAACAAGCACCAAGCAUUUUGGUCAGGUACCACUAAGCUGCCAGAGCAAGAUAGCUGGGAUGUCAAGUCCCUAGGGCAAUGGUAAAUCUCAAAUUGCCUGAUGUUCGAUGGGAAGCAUCAGACAAUACCAAUGUCCAAUAGUAAGAUCUGAUUGUGCAGGUGGUCAAGCCAAGAUAAGUGUGCGUGCAUCACCGUUUAGUCGAGAUUUAGAAAAAGAUGAUGUCUGCUAUGAUAGUUUCCAGAAUAGUUUGGCCCUUGAGACACUUCCACUAUAUGCAUGCGUGUUCCUUUUUUCCAGAGAUAUGCAUGUCUAUUGAUUAUUAUUGGAAUUGGUUCAACAAACAGUGUAUAUGUGACAAAAUUACUAAUAUACUGACCGAGCCUGAUAAUCUGACUAAUCCAUACAGUGGAUAUGCACCAAUGCUCAAAUUUUAAAAAUGAAGGAUUCAACUUUUUUUUGGAUUAUUAUUAUUUGUGAAGUCGUGAGUAUGCCUAGCAACCGUAAAAAAUAUAUAGUUCGACUUAGUGGUAGGUUCUGCAGUAGUCUUGCCUUGAAGGUUUCGUCAUAGUAAAAAUUGAUAUGUCUUUAUGAAGUAAUCUGAGCAUUUUGUUGGUUGCAGGUUAACUUUGUUCUCCAAUAUAGGUGGCGUAUGUUUGUGCAAAAUGAUUAUGAAAGGACUUCUGAUAACUUUAUCUUUUGUCAAGGUUGUUUACUUGGUGGAGCAAACUUCCAUUUCCUCUGAACAGGUGAACAUGACAUGUGUGAUGGCUGUCAGCCCUAAUGAGCUUUAGACAUGUAUCUGAGGUUUCGUUGGCUGUAAACAAGUAGGGUCAACGAGUCGAGCAGAUCCUGGACCAUCACAUGAACACAUGAAAUAGGUUGAGACCGGCAGCUUUUGGUAACCAGUCUAAGCUCUAGCACCUUGAUGCAAGCCAGAAUAGCCUCACUGGAUCAACAUUCCCGGGAAUAACAGAAUUGGUGAACCAGUUGACACUUGAUCUUAACUAAUCAGUUAAUUAAACCCUGAAUUUGAAUGAAGGGCUCCUUGAUUAAUUUGUUCACAAGUAGUCCAAUGAUUCGGGGUUUAGACUUUAGUGUUUUUGGAUUAUUACGGGGCAGCAACCCUGCUUUUGAGCACACCCAAACAAAUUGAAUCAGGGUCUCUGCUUUUGGUUGUUCAAGUUUGUGGUAAAUCAUUAUGAACAGUUGUGUUUCCGGUGGCACCUAAAUACAUUGGUAGAUCUGCACUGUACUCUGCUCCUAUUGAUUGAUGAUCACAAGUCACAACCCAAUUUUAGAUCUAUUUGAUUUGUUUCGUUUAGUGUUGGAUGGUGCAAAUUAAAGAAAGUGUACUGUCAUUCAUCAAUUUACUAAAUCUGGCCUGAAUGCGCCGUUACCUCGAUUUCUAAAUCUUAACCAAUUAUCUGGUCAUCAUUCCCUUAGCUGUUUGACUAGAGCACAUUCUCUCGAUUGAGGAGAUGAAUCUAACUAAACCUUCUUAGCUUAGAAACAAAAGUCGUUCUCUCGAUGAACCGAGAACUAUUGUGGUUAAUUUGUCAGCCAUUGUGUUCCUUCUGUACUUUAAUUCUUGGUCUGUGUUGAGUUGGGGGGCUUUUUACAGUCUGACAACAAGAAUCUCAGACAGUCUGAAAUUAGUUGUUUUUUUGGAUUAUCAAGUGAUAGAAACAUGGUCCUUCAGUUGCUGUACCAAUGUAUGUUAGGGUUUAGUGAGAUUUUCUUCCUGUAAGGUGCGGUUCUUGGGGAUAGAUUAAAUACCAGUCACAUUCAAUUUGUUGUGAAGUAUACCAUUUUAGUUCAAAUGCCACCUUACCAAAAACAGAGAACAAUUUUGCCACUGGAGUAGGAUAACAAACAUGAAACCAGUUAAUCUUUGUAUCAUAGUUGAUUGCUUAUUUCUAAAGCACCAGGGCGCUCUCCCUGCAACGGGACUACUUGGGCGUCUCCGACGGCAGCAUGCUUACUGAGGCUGAAGACUAGCACGGUUGAUGAGCUAAAGUGGCGGGUGGAGCUGGGCCGCAAGUCCAUGGCGCUCGUGUGGAAGGAGCUGGAGGAGGAGCGGAUCACGUUGGCGGUGGCGGCCGCCCAGGCCAUGGCCAUGAUCACCAAUCUGCAGGAGGAGAAGGUGGUGAUGCGGACGGAGGCGGCGCAAUAUCGAUUUGUCAUGGAGGAGCAGAGUGCGUAUGAUUGUGACGAGGCUGAGGGUCUGGCUGCUGAGAAGUGCUUUGUUUUGGGCAAGCCAAAAUACUUGAAAGAAAAAAGAGAAAAUACUCUUCCCAACCAAACAACCAGCUAUUUGUAAAAUUCCCUAAAAAUGCUCUAAAAAACUAUCUGCAAAAAAACCUAACACAGUAAAUAUAGUUUAAAAAUGUUCACAGUUUUACAUAUGUUCA